rnacentral:lncRNA from 1 species
CUGUAAUCUAAAUAGAGUAAAAGCAGAUAUCCAAUUGACAUUUAUUUUGUGAGAUUGGAGCACACCUUAAACACGAUUAACUAUGACUUCAUCCCAAAUUUUUGCUCAUAAAUUUAGCGGCCACUCCAAGAACAAGACUCAUUCGGAAAAUUGAGAGUUUCCGUUGAUUUGAAUCUGACAUUUGUAGUCGAAUGCUGCACAUGCUGAUCGGUAGAGUUGAAAAGAUUUUCCAUGUCACAACUCAUUGAGUGCACAGAAUGCCAAAGCCGCAGCAAAUCAAUGUGACAUCCGCACCACUAGAUCAUGAGCAACGGCUCGAAUGAAAUUUGGACCAAUUGUGGAAAAUGGAAAUGUCCAUGUAGUGGAAGAGCAGGCGGACAAUCCGCCGCAUCAACGGCCUUCCAUUAUCAUCAGCAUCAACUCUAACGAUGCUUCAAGCCACCGGGGGAAAUAUCACUUUGGCGUAAUUAUCUGUUAAUUGCCAUUUAAUGUACUGGGCUGGCCUGGACAGUUCUGGGGACGCGUGUCAGUGAUGUACCGCCCCCAGCCGCCUCGGCUUCUCCCUCCGUCAAGGUCGUUUAGUGCGCCGGGUGCGUGUUUAUGAUGAGCUCAUAGUGUACACAUGUUCUGGUCUGGGGAAGUGCACCUGCUACCAGUUUGUUUUGCAUUUCAAUUGUCACACAGCACCGUGGAACGUGCAUAAAGAAUGGUA